UUGAGUAUAAAUUCUUAAAUAAUAAAGUCGGUCCUUGGUGUGGCGUUUGCGGCAGCGCUUGUGGAUGGAGAGUGACCUCGUGGCGUCCUUCUGAAGGUCC